rnacentral:rRNA from 1 species
AGAUUAAGUUAUUAAGGGCGCACGGUGGAUGCCUUGGCACUAGAAGCCGAUGAAGGACGUUACUAACGACGAUAUGCUUUGGGGAGCUGUAAGUAAGCUUUGAUCCAGAGAUUUCCGAAUGGGGAAACCCAGCAUGAGUUAUGUCAUGUUAUCGAUAUGUGAAUACAUAGCAUAUCAGAAGGCACACCCGGAGAACUGAAACAUCUUAGUACCCGGAGGAAGAGAAAGAAAAUUCGAUUCCCUUAGUAGCGGCGAGCGAAACGGGAAGAGCCCAAACCAACAAGCUUGCUUGUUGGGGUUGUAGGACACUCUAUACGGAGUUACAAAGGACGACAUUAGACGAAUCAUCUGGAAAGAUGAAUCAAAGAAGGUAAUAAUCCUGUAGUCGAAAAUGUUGUCUCUCUUGAGUGGAUCCUGAGUACGACGGAGCACGUGAAAUUCCGUCGGAAUCUGGGAGGACCAUCUCCUAAGGCUAAAUACUCUCUAGUGACCGAUAGUGAACCAGUACCGUGAGGGAAAGGUGAAAAGCACCCCGGAAGGGGAGUGAAAUAGAACCUGAAACCGUGUGCUUACAAGUAGUCAGAGCCCGUUAAUGGGUGAUGGCGUGCCUUUUGUAGAAUGAACCGGCGAGUUACGAUUUGAUGCAAGGUUAAGCAGUAAA